rnacentral:lncRNA from 1 species
GGCAGACUCGGUUGGAUGCCCCAGCCAAGGUAUCCCCGAGAAUGAGUUUUCGCACAAGCCGAAUUUUUAAGAAGUUCAUAAGCCAUGUUGAUUAUUUGAGUGAAAUGAAAUUAUUUUAUUUAGUUGAAAUGAGUUUGAAACGUUAUGAAUCAUAGUAUGAUGAACUAUUUUAAGUUGUCUCCAUUUACUCGACUUUAGAUAUUUUAGAUGAUGUUUGUUUACUCACUGAGUUUAUAUAAACUCACCACCCUCCUUUCCACUCAUUCCAAGAUCA